rnacentral:rRNA from 1 species
CAGUAGCCGCGGGAAUACCGAGGUCCCGAGCGUUGUUCGGAUUCACUGGGCGUAAGGGGUGUGUAGGAGGUUGGAUAAGUCAGGUGUGAAAUCCCGCAGCUCAACUGCGGAACUGCAUUCGAUACUGUUCAACUAGAGGAUCGGAGGGGGAAGCGGAAUUCUUGGUGUAGCGGUGAAAUGCGUAGAUAUCAAGAGGAACACCGGUGGCGAAGGCGGCUUCCUGGAAGAUACCUGACUCUGAAACACGAAAGCCAGGGGAGCGAAUGGGAUUAGAGACCCCCGUAGUCCCUGUCUCUUAUAC